CACCUACGGGUGGCUGCAGUCGAGGAUCUUCGGCAAUGAGCGCAAGCUUGACCGAGCGACGCCGCGUGCGGGAUGAAGGCUUUCGGGUUGUAAACCGCUGUCAGUGGGGAGGAAAUUUAGGUGGGUACUCUCAUCUAAUUGACUUAUCCGCAGAGGAAGCAAGGGCUAAGUUCGUGCCAGCAGCCGCGGUAAGACGAACCUUGCUAACGUUAUUCGGAAUUACUGGGCUUAAAGGGUGCGUAGGCGGUGCAGAAAGUUGGGUGUGAAAGCCCUCGGCUCAACCGAGGAAUUGCGCCCAAAACUGCUGCACUAGAGGAAGACAGAGGUACGCGGAACUUAGGGUGGAGCGGUGAAAUGCGUUGAUAUCCUAAGGAACACCGGUGGCGAAAGCGGCGUACUGGGUCUUAUCUGACGCUGAGGCACGAAAGCUAGGGGAGCGAACGGGAUUAGAUACCCCGGUAGUCCUAGCCGUAAACUAUGAGCACUUGAUUGGAGGGUCCUCCAUAGCCUUCCAGUCGUAGCGAAAGUGUUAAGUGCUCCGCCUGGGGAGUAUGGUCGCAAGGC
rnacentral:rRNA from 1 species